CAAUAGCGUAUAUUAAAGUUGUUGCAGUUAAAAAGCUCGUAGUUGGAUUUCUGGUGGGAGCGAUCGGUCUGGCGCUUAGCGCGAGUACUUGCAUCGUCUCCGGCCAUCCUUGGGGAGAGUCUGUCUGGCAUUAAGUUGUCGGGCAGAGGAUCCUCAUCGUUUACUGUGAAAAAAUUAGAGUGUUCAAAGCAGGCUUAUGCCGUUGAAUAUAUUAGCAUGGAAUAAUAAGAUAGGACUUUGGUACUAUUUUGUUGGUUUGCGCACCAAAGUAAUGAUUAAUAGGGACAGUUGGGGGUAUUCGUAUUCCGUUGUCAGAGGUGAAAUUCUUGGAUUUACGUAAGACGAACUACUGCGAAAGCAUUUACCAAGGAUGUUUUCAUUAA
rnacentral:rRNA from 1 species